AAGUAUGAAAAACAAUCAUAGAAUCAUAGAAUCAGCUGGGCUGGAAGGGACCUCCGAGAUCAUCAAGUCCAACCCUUGAUCCCCUACCGCUGCGGUUGCUAGACCAAGGCAUUAAGUGCACAUCCAGUCUCUUCUUAAAAACCUUCAGGGAUGGAGAAUCCCCUACUUCCCUGGGCAGCCCAUUCCAAUGUCUGAUUAC